GGGUUGUGAGGUUAAGCGACUAAGCGUACACGGUGGAUGCCCUGGCAGUCAGAGGCGAUGAAGGACGUGCUAAUCUGCGAUAAGCGUCGGUAAGGUGAUAUGAACCGUUAUAACCGGCGAUUUCCGAAUGGGGAAACCCAGUGUGUUUCGACACACUAUCAUUAACUGAAUCCAUAGGUUAAUGAGGCGAACCGGGGGAACUGAAACAUCUAAGUACCCCGAGGAAAAGAAAUCAACCGAGAUUCCCCCAGUAGCGGCGAGCGAACGGGGAGCAGCCCAGAGCCUGAAUCAGUGUGUGUGUUAGUGGAAGCGUCUGGAAAGGCGCGCGAUACAGGGUGACAGCCCCGUACACAAAAAUGCACAUGCUGUGAGCUCGAUGAGUAGGGCGGGACACGUGGUAUCCUGUCUGAAUAUGGGGGGACCAUCCUCCAAGGCUAAAUACUCCUGACUGACCGAUAGUGAACCAGUACCGUGAGGGAAAGGCGAAAAGAACCCCGGCGAGGGGAGUGAAAAAGAACCUGAAACCGUGUACGUACAAGCAGUGGGAGCACAGAGCAAUCUGUGUGACUGCGUACCUUUUGUAUAAUGGGUCAGCGACUUAUAUUCUGUAGCAAGGUUAACCGAAUAGGGGAGCCGAAGGGAAACCGAGUCUUAACUGGGCGUUAAGUUGCAGGGUAUAGACCCGAAACCCGGUGAUCUAGCCAUGGGCAGGUUGAAGGUUGGGUAACACUAACUGGAGGACCGAACCGACUAAUGUUGAAAAAUUAGCGGAUGACUUGUGGCUGGGGGUGAAAGGCCAAUCAAACCGGGAGAUAGCUGGUUCUCCCCGAAAGCUAUUUAGGUAGCGCCUCGUGAAUUCAUCUCCGGGGGUAGAGCACUGUUUCGGCAAGGGGGUCAUCCCGGCUUACCAACCCGAUGCAAACUGCGAAUACCGGAGAAUGUUAUCACGGGAGACACACGGCGGGUGCUAACGUCCGUCGUGAAGAGGGAAACAACCCAGACCGCCAGCUAAGGUCCCAAAGUCAUGGUUAAGUGGGAAACGAUGUGGGAAGGCCCAGACAGCCAGGAUGUUGGCUUAGAAGCAGCCAUCAUUUAAAGAAAGCGUAAUAGCUCACUGGUCGAGUCGGCCUGCGCGGAAGAUGUAACGGGCUAAACCAUGCACCGAAGCUGCGGCAGCGACGCUUAUGCGUUGUUGGGUAGGGGAGCGUUCUGUAAGCCUGUGAAGGUGUACUGUGAGGUAUGCUGGAGGUAUCAGAAGUGCGAAUGCUGACAUAAGUAACGAUAAAGCGGGUGAAAAGCCCGCUCGCCGGAAGACCAAGGGUUCCUGUCCAACGUUAAUCGGGGCAGGGUGAGUCGACCCCUAAGGCGAGGCCGAAAGGCGUAGUCGAUGGGAAACAGGUUAAUAUUCCUGUACUUGGUGUUACUGCGAAGGGGGGACGGAGAAGGCUAUGUUGGCCGGGCGACGGUUGUCCCGGUUUAAGCGUGUAGGCUGGUUUUCCAGGCAAAUCCGGAAAAUCAAGGCUGAGGCGUGAUGACGAGGCACUACGGUGCUGAAGCAACAAAUGCCCUGCUUCCAGGAAAAGCCUCUAAGCAUCAGGUAACAUCAAAUCGUACCCCAAACCGACACAGGUGGUCAGGUAGAGAAUACCAAGGCGCUUGAGAGAACUCGGGUGAAGGAACUAGGCAAAAUGGUGCCGUAACUUCGGGAGAAGGCACGCUGAUAUGUAGGUGAAGUCCCUCGCGGAUGGAGCUGAAAUCAGUCGAAGAUACCAGCUGGCUGCAACUGUUUAUUAAAAACACAGCACUGUGCAAACACGAAAGUGGACGUAUACGGUGUGACGCCUGCCCGGUGCCGGAAGGUUAAUUGAUGGGGUUAGCGCAAGCGAAGCUCUUGAUCGAAGCCCCGGUAAACGGCGGCCGUAACUAUAACGGUCCUAAGGUAGCGAAAUUCCUUGUCGGGUAAGUUCCGACCUGCACGAAUGGCGUAAUGAUGGCCAGGCUGUCUCCACCCGAGACUCAGUGAAAUUGAACUCGCUGUGAAGAUGCAGUGUACCCGCGGCAAGACGGAAAGACCCCGUGAACCUUUACUAUAGCUUGACACUGAACAUUGAGCCUUGAUGUGUAGGAUAGGUGGGAGGCUUUGAAGUGUGGACGCCAGUCUGCAUGGAGCCGACCUUGAAAUACCACCCUUUAAUGUUUGAUGUUCUAACGUUGACCCGUGAUCCGGGUUGCGGACAGUGUCUGGUGGGUAGUUUGACUGGGGCGGUCUCCUCCUAAAGAGUAACGGAGGAGCACGAAGGUUGGCUAAUCUGGUCGGACAUCAGGAGGUUAGUGCAAUGGCAUAAGCCAGCUUGACUGCGAGCGUGACGGCGCGAGCAGGUGCGAAAGCAGGUCAUAGUGAUCCGGUGGUUCUGAAUGGAAGGGCCAUCGCUCAACGGAUAAAAGGUACUCCGGGGAUAACAGGCUGAUACCGCCCAAGAGUUCAUAUCGACGGCGGUGUUUGGCACCUCGAUGUCGGCUCAUCACAUCCUGGGGCUGAAGUAGGUCCCAAGGGUAUGGCUGUUCGCCAUUUAAAGUGGUACGCGAGCUGGGUUUAGAACGUCGUGAGACAGUUCGGUCCCUAUCUGCCGUGGGCGCUGGAGAACUGAGGGGGGCUGCUCCUAGUACGAGAGGACCGGAGUGGACGCAUCACUGGUGUUCGGGUUGUCAUGCCAAUGGCACUGCCCGGUAGCUAAAUGCGGAAGAGAUAAGUGCUGAAAGCAUCUAAGCACGAAACUUGCCCCGAGAUGAGUUCUCCCUGACUCCUUGAGAGUCCUGAAGGAACGUUGAAGACGACGACGUUGAUAGGCCGGGUGUGUAAGCGCAGCGAUGCGUUGAGCUAACCGGUACUAAUGAACCGUGAGGCUUAACCUUACAACGCCGAAG
rnacentral:rRNA from 1 species